AUUGAACGCUGGCGGCAGGCCUAACACAUGCAAGUCGAACGAGUGGCGGACGGGUGAGUAAUGUCUGGGAAACUGCCUGAUGGCGGGGGAUAACUACUGGAAACGGUAGCUAAUACCGCAUACCAUCGGAUGUGCCCCGAUGGGAUUAGCUAGUGGGUGGGGUAAAGGCUCACCUAGGCGACGAUCCCUAGCUGGUCUGAGAGGAUGACGAGCAACACGGGAACUGAGACACGGGCCCGACUCGUACGGGAGGCAGCAGGGGGGAUUAGUGCAAAAGGGGCGCAAGCCUGAUGCAGACAUGCGGCGUGUAUGAAGAGGGCCUUGGGGUUGUAAAGUACUUUAAGCGGGGAGGCGUUACCCGCAGAAGAAGCACCGGCUAACUCCGUGCCAGCAGCCGCGGUAAUAC
rnacentral:rRNA from 1 species